rnacentral:rRNA from 1 species
UACGGGGGGGGCAAGCGUUGUUCGGAAUUACUGGGCGUAAAGGGCUCGUAGGCGGCCAACUAAGUCGGACGUGAAAUCCCUCGGCUUAACCGGGGAACUGCGUCCGAUACUGGAUGGCUUGAGUUCGGGAGAGGGAUGCGGAAUUCCAGGUGUAGCGGUGAAAUGCGUAGAUAUUGGGAGGAACACCAGUGGCGAAGGCGGCUCACUGGACCGGAACUGACGCUGAGGCGCGAAAGCGUGGGGAGCAAACAGG